CCUACGGGGGGCAGCAGUGGGGAAUAUUGCGCAAUGGGCGAAAGCCUGACGCAGCGACGCCGCGUGAGGGAUGAAGGUCUUCUGAUCGUAAACCUCUGUCAGCAGGGAAGAACGGUCACUGUGCUAAUCAUCAGUGAAUUGACGGUACCUGCAAAGGAAGCACCGGCUAACUCCGUGCCAGCAGCCGCGGUAAUACGGAGGGUGCGAGCGUUAAUCGGAAUUACUGGGCGUAAAGCGCUCGUAGGCGGUAUGUCAAGUCAAGGGUGAAAUCCCCGCGCUCAACGUGGGAACUGCCUUUGAAACUGGCAAACUGGAGUGUGUGAGAGGAUAGUGGAAUUCCAGGUGUAGGAGUGAAAUCCGUAGAUAUCUGGAGGAACAUCAGUGGCGAAGGCGACUAUCUGGAACAUAACUGACGCUGAGGAGCGAAAGCGUGGGUAGCAAACAGGAUUAGAUACCCGAGUAGUC
rnacentral:rRNA from 1 species